GACGAACGCUGGCGGCGUGCCUAACACAUGCAAGUCGAACGAAUCUAAGAGGGAGCUUGCUUCCUCUUAGAUUAGUGGCGGACGGGUGAGUAACGCGUGAGUAACCUGCCUUUCAGAGGGGGAUAACGUCUGGAAACGGACGAUAAUACCGCAUGACAUUUCGAGACCACAUGGUCAUGAAAUCAAAGGAGCAAUCCGCUGAAAGAUGGACUCGCGUCCGAUUAGCUAGUUGGUGAGAUAACAGCCCACCAAGGCGACGAUCGGUAGCCGGGUUGAGAGACUGAACGGCCACAUUGGGACUGAGACACGGCCCAGACUCCUACGGGAGGCAGCAGUGGGGGAUAUUGCACAAUGGAGGAAACUCUGAUGCAGCAACGCCGCGUGAGGGAAGACGGUUUUCGGAUUGUAAACCUCUGUCCUUAGGGAAGAUAAUGACGGUACCUAAGGAGGAAGCUCCGGCUAACUACGUG
rnacentral:rRNA from 1 species